rnacentral:rRNA from 1 species
AAUAGAUACCCGGGUAGUCCACGCCGUAAACGAUGUCGACUUGGAGGUUGUUCCCUUGAGGGAGUGGCUUCCGGAGCUAACGCGUUAAGUCGACCGCCUGGGGAGUACGGCCGCAAGGUUAAAACUCAAAUGAAUUGACGGGGGGCCCGCACAAGCGGUGGAGCAUGUGGUUUAAUUCGAUGCAACGCGAAGAACCUUACCUACUCUUGACAUCCAGAGAACUUAGCAGAGAUGCUUUGGUGCCUUCGGGAACUCUGAGACAGGUGCUGCAUGGCUGUCGUCAGCUCGUGUUGUGAAAUGUUGGGUUAAGUCCCGCAACGAGCGCAACCCUUAUCCUUUGUUGCCAGCGGUUCGGCCGGGGAACUCAAAGGAGACUGCCAGUGAUAAACUGGAGGAAGGUGGGGAUGACGUCAAGUCAUCAUGGCCCUUACGAGUAGGGCUACACACGUGCUACAAUGGCGUAUACAAAGAGAAGCGACCUCGCGAGAGCAAGCGGACCUCAUAAAGUACGUCGUAGUCCGGAUUGGAGU